AUACGAAUGGAGCAAGCGUUGUUCGGAAUCACUGGGCGUAAAGCGUACGUAGGCGGAUUUUUAAGUCAGAAGUGAAAGCCCAGGGCUCAACCCUGGAACUGCUUUUGAAACUGGAAGUCUAGAGUCCCGGAGAGGUUAGGGGAAUUCCGAGUGUAGCAGUGAAAUGCGCAGAUAUUCGGAGGAACACCAGUGGCGUAGGCGCCUAACUGGACGGGAUCUGACGCUGAGGUACGAAAGCGUGGGGAGCAAACGGGAUUAGAAACCCGAGUAGUCC
rnacentral:rRNA from 1 species